AUUUUCACUGUUAUAAUUUCGUUUUCUCACGUGGUUGGGUUUAAAUAUUAAGAAGUGUUGAAAAAAGUUAUAAAUAUUAAUAAAAAAUAAAAAAUAAAUAAUAAUAAAAUAAUAAAUAAUAAUAAUAAAUAAGUAAAAAAUAAUAAAUAAUAAUAAAAUUAAAUAAAAAUUAAUAAUAAAAUAAUAAAUAAUAAUAGGAAGAGUUAGAGAAGUACUGACCCAAACGUAGGAAAACCACAUUCCCAGCGUAAAUUUAUCUCUAAUCAGUGGUCUGAAUAAAAUAUAUAUAUAUAUCAGCAACUCUCUGCUCGUGUUUUUCACACCCAGCCACAAGAAAAUCAUAGCCUAAGAAUUAUACACAACCAAAAACAUAGAAACUACUCCCUCACUAAAAUUACCGUAGCCUCCUCUCAGAAAUCAUCUAGAGGACACUGUGGCAGUGAUCACCCCAAGGAAGUCGAAACACCACUAGGGAGCUCAGAAAGUGCCGGCCAUCAUCCUCCACCACAGCUCAAUCACCCAGAUCUGUCGCACUCCCUUUUGGUCAAGAGGAUGAUCAGUACAAGCAAAUGAGCCAAGCUUAAAAGGAGCAGGCUAUGAACUCAGUGACUUUGAUGUGUGAUUUUCAUUUUAGUCAAUUUGAAAAAUUGACUUAUGCUUUUAUUAAAACAGCUUAUUUUAUAAACUCUUUAAAGUGAUGGACAGUAUUUCCACAAA